UUAAAAUGACGAGUUACAGCACUGGGCACUGAAUAUAUUCAUGAGUGACAAUGCUUUUCAGUGGGCUUAGAAACCCCACGCAACUGAUUUU
rnacentral:snoRNA from 1 species